GUCCAGGGUAGCCUAGGUAAGGCCGGUAAGUGGAAGGUCGUGGGUUCGAUUCCCAUCCCUUGACA
rnacentral:tRNA from 1 species